rnacentral:rRNA from 1 species
CGUUCGUAGUUGAACUUGUGCUUCAUACGGGUAGUAUAACUAUAAUUGUGGAUUGUACAUUACCUUAUGUAUGUAAGCGUAUUACCGGUGGAGUUCUAAUAUAUAAUUUAUACUUGUAUAUUUAUGUAUACCUCCUAUUUAAACCUACUUCAGUGCUYUUAAUCGAGUGUUGUUGUGGGCCGGUACAAUUACUUUGAACAAAUUAGAGUGCUUAAAGCAGGCUCCAAAUGCCUGAAUAUUUUGUGCAUGGAAUAAUGAAAUAAGACCUCUGUUCUACUUUCAUUGGUUUUUAGAUCAAGAGGUAAUGAUUAAUAGAAGCAGUUUGGGGGCAUUAGUAUUACGACGCGAGAGGU